rnacentral:rRNA from 1 species
UACGUAGGGGGCAAGCGUUGUCCGGAUUUAUUGGGCGUAAAGAGCGUGUAGGCGGUCAGGUAGGUCCGUUGUGAAACUCGAGGCUCAACCUCGAGACGCCGAUGGAAACCAUCUGACUAGAGUCCGGAAGAGGAGAGUGGAAUUCCGUGGUGUAGCGGUGAAAUGCGCAGAUAUCAGGAAGAACACCCGUGGCUAAGGCGGCUCUCUAGUACGGUACUGACGCUGAGACGCGAAAGCGUGGGGAGCGAACAGG